rnacentral:ncRNA from 18 species
GAGGAAACCGGUGCGAUUCCGGUGCGGUCCCGCCACUGUGACCGGGGAGUUCUCCCGUCGAGGUGCCACUGGGGCGCGAGCCCCGGGAAGGCGGCGGGAGCGCGGCGAUCCGGGAGCCAGGACACUC